UCUCAUGUUUGCCUGAACAGUAACUGUACUGUCAGAGCCCUACACUUGGCUUUGGAUAACUUGAGCCCGGACAGAGUGUUAGAAAAUCCCCGUCUCUUCAAAUCUCACACAGAUGAAUGCUCAUGUUGGAAAGAAUCUCAAGUUCUGCCUUCGUUGGAAGUGCUGCUGAAGAUUGCCCGUAACUGAGGAUUGCGGUGGAGAAGAAUAAGCACUGCAUGUAGAAAUGAAUCACGUAAUCCUGGGGGAAGAAAUAGCUGUGGAGACAACCUCUGUGGCAGUUAAGGUCCCUUUUGGGUACCAUAUGCAUCUGCUGUUAAUUCAGUUGCCAAUGGCUGCCUGGGAUACUGACGCUAAUUUGGCAAACAAUGGAACAGAGCACGGGAAAAGGAAGAUGGGACAGAUGAGAGGAGUGGUGGAGAGGAGAGGGUGCUACCAUACUUGCCAUAUAAUUCAGAAGAACUCUUGAGUUUUAAAGCAACAGCGAUGGAUGGUUUUAAGAAUAAGUGACUUUCUUGGCCUAAGUAGGGUAAGGAUACAACCUUUAACCUUGCAUUCUGCUAUUACAAAUAGGUGUAAUCUUCUCCUCUCCCCGUGUCUGUUUUAAAGCCUGAUGGCUCAACUACCUGCCAGAGACAGCUAUUUUGAUAACAAAGCCAGGCUAUAGAUGAGACCAUUGGAUUCGGCAUCUGAGAUCUGGGACAGACUAUUGGAACUCUACAACAUACAUUUUCCAAUGAGAAUGCAUUUUAAAAUCAGGCAUUAUUUUAAUUAUUAUGAUCAUUUCCAUUUUCUCUCCAGUCUUUUUGGAAGGAAGAACAAACACUCAAUUUUAAGUAAGGAAAGACAAUUAAUGAGGGUAUUUGAUGCAAAAUGAGGAAUGACUGAAGCCUGUUGCUAUAUUACAGCCCUUCAAAACUGCUCCUGGUCAGCAUGUGUACUCUUAUCACUCACUUCUGAUUUCCCCAUAGUAGGUGCUAUUAAAAAUUCAGCAUUCCCUUAUUCCUAUUAAUAAUUAUAUGUGCUGUUGUAGAACCUAAAGGCCCCCCCAAAAAGGCCAGGGCCCAAUUGCACUAAAUAUGGUUUAUAUACAUUGUAGUAGAUAGUCCUUGCCUCAAAGAGUUUACACUCUAAUUGGGUAAGACAAACGAAGGAAAUAUUCUCCCCAUUUUACAGCCUGGAGACUGAGGCAGAGAAAGAUAAAAGUCUCAGUGGGUCAUUCUAGUCAUCUGUGUCUGAGCUGGGAACAGUAUCCAGAUCUCCUGAGAUUUAAUGCAGUGUCUCAACUGCAAGACAAUCUUUUGUAUCAGCAUUGGGUGCCUCUCAGUAACCUUAUUUGUGCUUAACCUGGGAAGAUAACAUAGUCCCCGUAAAGCAGCAAAAUAGUCAUUACCAUGGAAAAUUCAGCAUUAUAUUACCCAAUAUUUAGCAUGACGCCUGGUCAAAAAUGUAGACUAUUUUUCAUGAAAAUAUUUGAAUAAAAAAACCAAAAAACAAAAAUUUUGAAUUUUCAAAAAAUGUUCAACCAGCUCUAAAAUGCCUCCCAAACAACACAAUGACAAAAUUUAAAAAAUUCUGGUCAGCUUCAGUAGCCCCAAAAUGGCAUCUGAGGUGGCACAUGUGUUCUCUCCUUUUGGGAAUGGGAAAUAAUUCCAGAAUGGUAGUGAUUUUUCAGCGGUGUCUGGUGUCUGUCGCUCCACUCAAGCCUGGUCAAAAUUUUAAAGUUUUAUUUGUAUAACUCUUGGGUUAGAGGGGCUAUAUUUAUUUAUUCAUUCAUUUAUUUUUACCAAAAUAAUUAUAUCCAUACAAUCCCUGGUGUGGCUUCAACAACAACCAUGUAAAGCUGAUUUAUACAAGUAAAAUUAUUCCUCCUCUUGUAUGGGAAUAAUUAUACCAGGAUAAAGCACCUUUAUACCAACAUAACUGCAUGCACACUAGGAGGCUGUACUCCUUUAGCUGCAUCAGGAAAGUGCUACAACUUUUCAGUGUAGAC